rnacentral:tRNA from 1 species
UAAAAAGGCAGGACUUGAACCCACCCAUAGGAGAUCAAAACUCCUCGUGCCCCCUCUACACUACUUUUUA